rnacentral:rRNA from 1 species
CCUACGGGAGGCAGCAGUGAGGAAUAUUGGUCAAUGGGCGAGAGCCUGAACCAGCCAAGUCGCGUGAGGGAGUACUGCCCUAUGGGUUGUAAACCUCUUUUGUCGGGGAGCAAAAGCCGGACGUGUCCGGCUGUGAGAGUACCCGCCGAAAACGCAUCGGCUAACUCCGUGCCAGCAGCCGCGGUAUUACGGAGGAUGCGAGCGUUAUCCGGAUUUAUUGGGGUUAAAGGGUGCGCAGGCGGAGUUGUAAGUCAUCGGUCAAAUCGUGGGGCUAAACCCCAUCCAGCCGUUGAAACUGGGGAUCUAGAGUGUGCGAGAGGUAUGCGGAAUGCGUGGUGUAGCGGUGAAAUGCAUAGAUAUCACGCAGAACCCCGAUUGCGAAGGCAGCAUACCGGUGCACAACUGACGCUCAGGCACGAAAGCGUGGGUAUCGAACAGGAUUAGAUACCCUUGUAGUC